GCAGAGAAAUGGAACAGAAAAGGCCGCGAUGAAGAACGUGUUAAAUCCCACCCCCAUUUUAUUUAAAAAUGGUUUUUAGUUCUUAAUUGGUGAGCCAAGGGGCCCACCCUUUUAUUUUUGUAUCCCCCGUGACCCUCUCCUUUCCCUCUUUCCCUCUUUCUUCGUCUCAACCCUCUCGUGCAUCUCUCUCUCCCUCUCUCCCUCAAGCUCUCGUCUCUCUCUCUCCCCCUGGAUUCUCGAAGACCUUAGCACCAUCAGGAGGGACUCCCCACGAAGCAGGGACCCCUGCCCUGCGAGGUAAACGGCACGGAGCAAAGCUCCGACGAGUUUUCUUCCUUUUUCAGUAGGGGUAAGUCUCUAAUCUCUCACUCUCGUACCUAGCUAAAUGUUUGGUCGUGAUUUAUAAGCGUGAACCUUCCAUUUUUACGUAGGUUUUACCUUGGAAACGUUUUGGGUGAGCACACCCAUUUUUCCGGCGAACCCGUGCACUCCGAGGGCUUUUCCGGUCACCUCCGACCGAGUUACGGUGUUUGGAAGGUAGAAAUCUCUUCCUCUCUCUUUGUUCUUCAUUUCCGUACCUAGAUCGGAGCUUGAAGCCCCCAUUUUCAGGUGACCGGAGCUGUAGCAGCUCCGGCCUUCUUCUUCCUCGGCACCAGGCCGUCUGGCCUCUCCCAUUUCCUCCUCGGGCCUUAGGCCCGUGUGGUCUUAAACCCAAAUCCCCAGCCCCUUUUUCUUUUAAUUUUGUUAGUUUAGUUUUUAAAAACCCAAUGGGCUCGGGCCCUAGUUUUGUGAGGCCUUGGGCCGGUUUAAUUAAAGGGCUUAAGCCCUAUCUUUUUUUUUAUAAGGCCUUAAGGCCUUUAUAUUUUGGUGGUGUGUGUGUGUGUGUGUGAUUAGGCAUGCACAUGCAUGCUGUGCAUGUGUGUGUGUGUUUGUUGAAUAUAUGUUUGGGCUUAAGCCCAAACUCCUUUCUUUCACCCUAAUAACCUUUUAACCCAAAACCCUAAACCCAUCCAAUCCCAAUCCCCUAUUUUAAUUUAAUUCAAACCAAAUCUUUUAGAAAAUCCUUUAUUUAUUAAUUAUACAUUCUUGUUCUUAGGUAAAAUUGUUAGUGGAGAAAUUCUAAAUCCUUAUUCGCGCGACUCUUCUGCUAAGGAAUAUUUGUGAGUGGACCCCUUCUAAAAUUACAUGAUUUGAUAAUUUAAUUGCAUAAAUGAUUAGCAUGCCUACGGAUUUAUGAUUUGAUUUAUGUGAAGCCUGAUGAUUUAAUAUAUUGAUUAUCGUCUCGUGUUUUUGGUGAGGAAUUAAUUGUUGGCCUAUAUUGAGCUAUAUUUUAAUAUAUCGUAUUUUCUAUAAAAACCAUGAACUGGUAGACUAUCUGAUUGAUGAUGAUAGGAUGCUAGAACAUGAUUUUGAACCCUCUUUAUAGCGUAGACGAUAAUCGGUAACCUAUGCUACGAAGUGGUAUUUAUGAGAGGCGUAAAUAUUUGUGCGUACCUAGUAGACACUAUGCCGCCUGGGGCGAGGAUCUGGUGUUGGCAUGUAGGCCGGGAGAAAUAAUCCCUAGCGAAAGGCUGAGGGACACGGAGACAGGCAUUGGGCCGGGAGGGAGUUAUCUCUGGCUACGGGCACAGAGACUGAGGUGCGGGCAUUGGGCCGGGAGUUAUAUUUAUUCGGUGAUCUUACUAGCAGCACACCGCGUUUACGAGACGAUUUACGAGAUGUUUUACGCGAUGAUUUAUAUGAUGUUUUCCGCGUUAUGGCUUUUGAGAUAUUUUUGGCAUGCUAGGAUUUUUAUUAAAUCCAUCACUUAUUAUGCUAGUAGUUUUCAUUUAUAUAAACUUUGGGGGUUAGUAUCUUGAUAACUGUUUUAUUAUUAUUGUAUAUAUAAACUUGGUUCACUCACCUUUGUUUUGCGCCCCCAUUCAGGACUUAGAAUCAAGGCACCUAAUCCCGACGUGAAGACACUUCCGCAGCAGCAUCUUCGGAUCCUCUCGAUGUAGGACCCACUUCUUUAUUCAUUCAAUUUUAUCUCAAUUCUUUUUAGUGAUUAGGUUUAGUUGUAUGUUCUGAACACGUUCUUAAAAUUAUUAACUCUUAUUUAUUUCUUAUUCUUAGCUUUUGUAUCAAUUAAUGGCUUUCGUCACCCUCGGGUGUCGGCCAGCACGUGUCUAUCCUGGUAUUCGGGGAAUAUCAGGGUCGGGGCGUGUCAGAACGCAUGUCGAGCGAGGACAAAGUCGCCCUUUUCGACGAUGAUCGACGUGUGGACAGAAUGGACGUCAUUCCACUGUGUGGAGAAGGAAAAAUGGAGAACGACACCGAAGCAAAAGCAAAACGGAAGACAGACGCGUGGGCUAAAAGGGCAAAGGCGUCUUUUAGCUGUGUAAAAAAUGGAAAAAAUGGCUGAUAACAAAGGAAUUGAAGGGCAAUGCAGUCCGUUCACUGUUGGUGAACAGUGCACUCUUUCACAGGAUGAACAGUGAUUUUCUGCUGGGCUUUAGUAUAUAGAUAAUAUGGUUAAAUAAUAUGAUGUUAUGGCGCCUGUGGUUGGGUAUAUCAUGUCCAAUGUGAUACUGCGUGAGAAGAUCUUGGUUUUGUGGAGCCAUAAAUUUGUUGAAGUUGUUAGAGUUUCCUAGCCGUUAAGGUUAGGUCUCCUAGUUUGUAGGGUUGUUUCAGUUGCUGUUAAUAAGUCCUAGUCUUUCGGGAGAAGUUAUUUGAGUUUGAUUUAGUCUUGUACCACAUUGUUAGGGUUGUGAAAUGUGGGCUGCAUAUUUUUAGCUUUCAGUUCUCUUUGUAAGGCUAUUUAAAAGCCAUGUUUACACUUUGAAUAAACACAGAUAUUCUCCCAGGCAUUUGAGUGUUCUAGCAAAUAUAUGUUUACGUGAUCUUUUGUGAGUGUUCAACCUAGGGUUUCCAACAUCUGGUAUCAGAGCCCUACCACGGGGCCUGAUUGAAGUUAUUCUCAUCGUUUAAAACAGCGUCAUGACGACUGAAAGCAGUUUGUGCAACCUGCAAUCCCAAGGUUUGAUGGACACUAU
rnacentral:lncRNA from 1 species